rnacentral:lncRNA from 1 species
CUGGGAGGUGGGUGGCUGCACACUCAAAACUGGCUUCCAACGGGACACAGACAUCAAAACAAAGAAGAGGGUAUGGCCUCACGACAGGGUUGCCUUGCUUACUCAGCCCACAGCUCUCAAACCGUUGCGCGAGGAAGAGCACGCAGGAGAACAGGUGCAGGAGCCAGAGCAAGACAUUUAGGCACUGACGGGAACAAAACUCUGCAGCCCUGUGGCAGUGUCUAAGGAGGAUGCAUGCAUUAUUCUCCACGACUGAUACAGAAGUAAAUUCCAGAAAGCUUUAAAGUCAGUUUGUAUAAAGAGAGGUUCUCUUUGACUGUGAAACAGAAGAAAAUCUUUCCUUAACAAUAACUUACACGUGCCAUGAAAGAGAUGAAGCAGAAGAUUAAGCAGGAAACCCAGCUACUUUUUUGCCCUAAGGCAUUACUCAUUUUCCUGACACAUUAUGUUUUUAAUUAAAAUUACAUGUGAGUUAAU